GGGAAAGCCAAAUAAUCAAACAUUUAAAAGAGUAUUUCCAUGUCAUAUUCAUAUCAUUAAUACAUCAACUUCAUUUCCACCAUUUUAAACACAAAACCGUGGAACCUAAAACAAACUUCCACCAUCUUGUAUCAAAAUUCACAAAGAACAACCAAAAAGAUGCAUCUACAAUAACACAACAGACACCCUCCCUCCUCUUCUUUUCCUCGUCCCAACAUAGUGCGUAUCUAAUCUUUCUUCUUAUCUUUC
rnacentral:misc_RNA from 1 species